CAUGCAGUCGACGGUAACAGGCCGCAAGGUGCUGACGAGUGGCGAACGGGUGAGUAAUGCAUCGGAACGUGCCCAGUCGUGGGGGAUAACUGCUCGAAAGAGCAGCUAAUACCGCAUACGACCUGAGGGUGAAAGCGGGGGACCGAAAGGCCUCGCGCGAUUGGAGCGGCCGAUGUCAGAUUAGGUAGUUGGUGGGGUAAAGGCCUACCAAGCCGACGAUCUGUAGUUGGUCUGAGAGGACGACCAGCCACACUGGGACUGAGACACGGCCCAGACUCCUACGGGAGGCAGCAGUGGGGAAUUUUGGACAAUGGGGGCAACCCUGAUCCAGCAAUGCCGCGUGCAGGAAGAAGGCCUUCGGGUUGUAAACUGCUUUUGUCAGGGAAGAAAUCCUGUGGGUUAAUACCUCGUGGGGAUGACGGUACCUGAAGAAUAAGCACCGGCUAACUACGUGCCAGCAGCCGCGGUAAUACGUAGGGUGCGAGCGUUAAUCGGAAUUACUGGGCGUAAAGCGUGCGCAGGCGGUUUUGUAAGACAGAGGUGAAAUCCCCGGGCUCAACCUGGGAACUGCCUUUGUGACUGCAAGGCUGGAGUACGGCAGAGGGGGAUGGAAUUCCGCGUGUAGCAGUGAAAUGCGUAGAUAUGCGGAGGAACACCGAUGGCGAAAGCAAUCCCCUGGGCCUGUACUGACGCUCAUGCAC
rnacentral:rRNA from 1 species